GGUUAAAAAGCUCGUAGUUGGAUUUCUGCGGGGGCGGGGCGGCCGGAUGCUUAUAGCAUCUCGAGCUAGCACUUCCCCCGCAUCCUGCCGCGAACCGUGCUACCAUUAGUUUGGUGGCGCUGGGGAUCGGCUCGUUUACUUUGAGAAAAAUAGAGUGUUCAAAGCAGGCCACACGCCUUGAAUAAGUUAGCAUGGAAUAAUGAUAAAGGACUUCGGUUCUAUUUUGUUGGUGUUCGGGACUGAAGUAAUGAUUGAUAGGGACAGUUGGGGCGGUCAGUAUUCCAAAGCGAGAGGUGAAAUUCUUAGACCUUCGGAAGACUAACAGCUGCGAAAGCGUUCCGCAAGGAUGUUCCCUUUGAUCAAGAACGAAAGUUGGGGGAUCGAAGACGAUCAGAUACCGUCCUAGUCUUAACCAUAAACUAUGCCGACUGGAGAUCGGGGGUCGUUAACUUUGUGACGCCCCUCUGCAUCUUGAGAAAAAUCAAAGUCUUUGGGUUCCGGGGGGAGUAUGGUCCAAGGCUGAAACU
rnacentral:rRNA from 1 species